UAAUAUUCACAACGCCGAAAAUACCAAGUUUGCCAUAAAAAAAAAACUGUUGUCGAACCAAGACGAUUGAAUCGGGUACGGAAAGCAAAGAGGUUUUCCUUAGGCCCUAAGCUUUAAAACAUUGUCAGUGAUGAUUUGCACUGAGUUGGAGGAUGCUGGCCAAAGAGACAAUCUCGAGAUCUCUGCAUCAGACGCUCUUGGGGAAAAGCUGAUUGGCUGCAAGUCUGUUUGGUGAAAGGAGGAAGAUGCUGAUCCCUUCUCAGAGAGUGGAGACUCUUCCUGGUCCUUUGUCCUUUUUCCGAGGUGUGAGUAAGGAGGUUAUCACUCUGAAGGAAGAAGGAGUUCCUGUAGAGCGACCUACAGCACUAUGGGGAGCAUGGUCUCCAGCAGAAGCCAGUCCAGGUCAGCCUCCCCCUGUCCAACCAGCUCGUCACAGAGGACACUCUGCUUGUGGCUAAAGUGGAGGACCACGGUGAUGCAGAUGAAAAGGAGAUUGACUUAAAGCUCUCGGGCUGCCAGGCUUUCUCCACUGCAAAGCCAAAGUUCUCUGCCUGGAAGAGGUUCCGCAACUACCUGAGGAAGAAGAUGAGAUCUUCCUCAGAGCAGACCCCCCAAGGUGGAGAACCUGGACCAGGACUGGCUGCUGGAUGCCUUACUGGCAGUUGUUUAAACUGUUCUGCAAGAGCAAAUAAAAUACCAUUCUAUUUUGCCUUGCACAUAUUAAUAAUAAAAAUAAAGAAAUUGGAAUUA